rnacentral:rRNA from 1 species
AUUGAACGCUGGCGGCAUGCCUUACACAUGCAAGUCGAACGGCAGCACGGGUGCUUGCACCUGGUGGCGAGUGGCGAACGGGUGAGUAAUACAUCGGAACAUGUCCUGUAGUGGGGGAUAGCCCGGCGAAAGCCGGAUUAAUACCGCAUACGAUCUACGGAUGAAAGCGGGGGCCUUCGGGCCUCGCGCUAUAGGGUUGGCCGAUGGCUGAUUAGCUAGUUGGUGGGGUAAAGGCCUACCAAGGCGACGAUCAGUAGCUGGUCUGAGAGGACGACCAGCCACACUGGGACUGAGACACGGCCCAGACUCCUACGGGAGGCAGCAGUGGGGAAUUUUGGACAAUGGGCGAAAGCCUGAUCCAGCAAUGCCGCGUGUGUGAAGAAGGCCUUCGGGUUGUAAAGCACUUUUGUCCGGAAAGAAAUCCUUGGCCCUAAUACGGUCGGGGGAUGACGGUACCGGAAGAAUAAGCACCGGCUAACUACGUG